AUUGAACGCUGGCGGCAGGCCUAACACAUGCAAGUCGAGCGAGCGGCGGACGGGUGAGUAAUGUCUGGGAAACCGCCUGUUGGAGGGGGAUAACUACUGGAAACGGCAGCUAAUACCGCACUCCAUCAGAUGUGCCCAGAUGGGAUUAGCUAGCUGGUGGGGUAAUGGCUCACCUAGGCGACGAUCCCCAGCUGGUCUGAGAGGAUGACCAGCCACACUGGAACUGAGACACGGUCCAGACUCCUACGGGAGGAAGCAGUGGGGAAUAUUGCGCAAUGGGCGCAAGCCUGAUGCAGCCAUGCCGCGUGUGUGAAGAAGGCCUUCGGGUUGUAAAGCGCUUUCGGCGGGGAAGCGUUACCCGCAGAGGAAGCACCGGCUAACUCCGUGCCAGCAGCCGCGGUAAUAC
rnacentral:rRNA from 1 species